rnacentral:rRNA from 1 species
AGCGAACGCUGGCGGCGCGCCUAACACAUGCAAGUCGAACGAGAAGGCGUAGCAAUACGCUUGUAAAGUGGCGAACGGGUGAGGAAUACGGUGGGUAACCUACCCUCGAGUGGGGAAUAACCAACCGAAAGGUUGGCUAAUGCCGCGUACGCUUCCAUCUCUUCGGGAGGUGGAAGGAAAGCUGUACCGUGGGUACAGCGCUCAAGGAUGGGCUCACGUCCUAUCAGCUUGUUGGUAGGGUAACGGCCU